rnacentral:rRNA from 1 species
UACGUAGGCAGCAAGCGUUGUUCGGAAUUACUGGGCGUAAAGAGUGUGUAGGCGGUGCUCUAAGUUCGGUGUGAAAUCUCCCGGCUUAACUGGGAGGGUGCGCCGGAAACUGGAGUGCUCGAGCGUGGGAGAGGAAAGCGGAAUUCCUGGUGUAGCGGUGAAAUGCGUAGAGAUCAGGAAGAACACCGGUGGCGAAGGCGCUCUGCUAGGCCGCAACUGACACUGAGGGACGAAAGCCAGGGGAGCAAACGGG